rfam:Triticum aestivum genome assembly, contig: Triticum_aestivum_CS42_TGACv1_scaffold_063796_1DL
CCCCUCCGUGAUGAGGAGUUUACUUCUUUUAUUCUCAAUGGCCUUGAUGAGGACUAUGACUCUCUUGUUGAAAACAUCAACGGACGUGACACGCCGAUGCCGCCUCGUGACCUCUAUGCCCGCCUCCUCAGCACGGAGC